UACGUAGGGGCGCAAGCGUUGUCCGGAAUUAUUGGGCGUAAAGAGCUCGUAGGCGGUUUGUCGCGUCUGCCGUGAAAACCCGAGGCUUAACCUCGUGGCUUGCGGUGGAUACGGGCAGACUAGAGUGCGGUAGGGGUGACUGGAAUCCUGGUGUAGCGGUGAAAUGCGUAGAGAGUCGGAAAGAACACCAACGGCGAAAGCACUCUGCUGGGCCGACACUGACACUGAGAGACGAAAGCUAGGGGAGCGAAUGGG
rnacentral:rRNA from 1 species